rnacentral:rRNA from 1 species
GCUUGUCUCAAAGAUUAAGCCAUGCAUGUCUAAGUAUAAAUGUUAUACAGUGAAACUGCGAAUGGCUCAUUAAAACAGUUAUAGUUUAUUUGAUAAUCGAAUCUACAUGGAUAACCGUGGUAAUUCUAGAGCUAAUACAUGCUGUUAAGCCUGACUUACGAAGGGCUGUAUUUAUUAGAUAACAGACCAAUAUUCCCUCGUGUCUAUUGUGGUGAAUCAUAGUAACUGAUCGGAUCGCAUGGGCGUGCCCGCGACAAACCAUUCAAGUUUCUGCCCCAUCAGCUUUCGAUGGUAGUGUAUUGGACUACCAUGGCUUUUACGGGUAACGGAGGAUUAGGGUUCGAUUCCGGAGAGGGAGCCUGAGAAACGGCUACCACAUCUAAGGAAGGCAGCAGG